AAAUUGAAGAGUUUGAUCAUGGCUCAGAUUGAACGCUGGCGGCAGGCCUAACACAUGCAAGUCGAGCGGAAACGAGUUAUCAGAACCUUCGGGGAACGAUAGCGGCGUCGAGCGGCGGACGGGUGAGUAAUGCCUAGGAAAUUGCCCUGAUGUGGGGGAUAACCAUUGGAAACGAUGGCUAAUACCGCAUGAUGCCUACGGGCCAAAGA
rnacentral:rRNA from 1 species